UGAGGAAUAUUGGUCAAUGGACGAGAGUCUGAACCAGCCAAGUAGCGUGAAGGAUGACUGCCCUAUGGGUUGUAAACUUCUUUUAUACGGGAAUAAAGUUAGCCACGUGUGGCUUUUUGUAUGUACCGUAUGAAUAAGGAUCGGCUAACUCCGUGCCAGCAGCCGCGGUAAUACGGAGGAUCCGAGCGUUAUCCGGAUUUAUUGGGUUUAAAGGGAGCGUAGGCGGGUUGUUAAGUCAGUUGUGAAAGUUUGCGGCUCAACCGUAAAAUUGCAGUUGAUACUGGCGACCUUGAGUGCAACAGAGGUAGGCGGAAUUCGUGGUGUAGCGGUGAAAUGCUUAGAUAUCACGAAGAACUCCGAUUGCGAAGGCAGCUUACUGGAUUGUAACUGACGCUGAUGCUCGAAAGUGUGGGUAUCAAACAGGAUUAGAUACCCUGGUAGUCCACACAGUAAACGAUGAAUACUCGCUGUUGGCGAUAUACGGUCAGCGGCCAAGCGAAAGCAUUAAGUAUUCCACCUGGGGAGUACGCCGGCAACGGUGAAACUCAAAGGAAUUGACGGGGGCCCGCACAAGCGGAGGAACAUGUGGUUUAAUUCGAUGAUACGCGAGGAACCUUACCCGGGCUUAAAUUGCAACUGACUGAACCGGAAACGGUUCUUUCUUCGGACAGUUGUGAAGGUGCUGCAUGGUUGUCGUCAGCUCGUGCCGUGAGGUGUCGGCUUAAGUGCCAUAACGAGCGCAACCCUUAUCGAUAGUUACUAGCAGGUCAUGCUGAGGACUCUAUUGAGACUGCCGUCGUAAGAUGUGAGGAAGGUGGGGAUGACGUCAAAUCAGCACGGCCCUUACGUCCGGGGCUACACACGUGUUACAAUGGGGGGUACAGAAGGCAGCUACACGGCGACGUGGUGCUAAUCCCGAAAGCCUCUCUCAGUUCGGAUUGGAGUCUGCAACCCGACUCCAUGAAGCUGGAUUCGCUAGUAAUCGCGCAUCAGCCACGGCGCGGUGAAUACGUUCCC
rnacentral:rRNA from 2 species